AGCCUUAAGAUAAUUAUUUAAGGUCAGACCUGCCCAGUGUAAGUUGAUGUAUAAAUGGCCGCGGUACUUUGACCGUGCUAAGGUAGCGCAAUCAAUUGGUUUUUAAAUGGAGCCAGGUAUGAAUGGAGUUACGGGGUUUUUCUGUCUCCUAACUAUUCUAUCGAAGUUACUAUGUAAGUGAAAAAGCUUACAUUUAGAAAAAGGACGAGAAGACCCUUAGAGUUUUUUUUCAAAGCAGUUUGGUUGGGGCAACAUGGGAACAAAUUUCCAUAAAUCGAGUAUUUUAGAAUUGAAUAAACUACCUUAGGGAUAACAGCAUAAUUUUAUAAUUAAGUUUGUGACCUCGAUGUUGGACUGGGAAACUGAAAGGUUAGCCGCCUUUUAGGUAAGUUCUGUUCGAACUAUUAUUCCC
rnacentral:rRNA from 1 species